GCGUAGAGCUUGCGUCAGUUGCACUGGCAUUAUUAAAUUUAAUUAUCAACCACAAAAACAACGUGCUUAAAGGAGCACUAUGAUCGAGAAGCGAUUUGAACCGAUAAGGCGUUUCCGGCGCAGUCGUGAGAGCUAUUAAUUUUCCAUCAAUUCUCGCAUCCCAUGUGCAUCAAUAAGCGCUAAUUCAAAUAGCAAAGGAAGCUUAAGUUGGGUCGAGACGCCAGGUAAUCUGGUGCCGAUGGCAAUAGUAAAAUUAAUUAGCAAAGACCAUGACGAAAUGCGAAGGGACAAACAUAAACAAUUGCCCGAAAAGGAACGUUAAAUGAAUAUCGUCAAAUCAGCUCUCGGAAGGUUGCGGUAAUAAAAUAAUUUAAUACGUAAUUCCCGAAAGGACUGCAAUAAAAGAAGGAAAGGUAGUCUGGCGACGGUCAUGUUUGAGUCUGGUAGAAAUAUGAAUUGAUUACCCGUGCUGACAAGGACCAACAAGUUUUGAAAGCGUCGGUACGUGAUAGGGAAUAGAGAAGGAUAGCGCGAAAUGCAAGCGCAACAUUGAAUACCAAAUUCUAUGUAGUAGUGAGGUAGAUAGGAAUUAUUUACCCGUGCUGACGAAUGGUAACGUCAGCAUCUAAGGAGAAAGGGAGAUAGUAAUAAAUGUUGCACUGCAUGUCGUGCAACAUCUUUAAUAUUUUACCAUAAGAUUCAUGUAUAUAUAGUUUAAGAAAAUUAAAAAAUAAAUGAGUCAUCAGUUACCAGAGAAAACGGUCGUUCGCAUUCAUCACUAGAAAGAAAAUUCCCGGACGAGCCCCCACCAGAAGAAGUCAUCCUCCCCUAGAAGGAAGCAUCAUCGCCCAGGAAGUAAUUCUCUCUAAGAAGAGAAUUGUAUAAGUAUAAUUUACUUCAACAAAUAUUUCUUCCUUUCCCUUCGCAGGUACAGUCCGCUGGAGAACCGUAGCCAGCAUAAAAGCGUACUUCCGCUCUUAUGCCCUACUUGCUUCUCCCCGGAUAUCCGAAAACUUUAAUCGUAAAGUCUUAAGGCAAAUUAAAAAAGAAUUUGCGACAGGGAACAGUCAGUCGCUCUGACGGCUGACAUUUUGGUGGCUCCAGAGAGGAGCGUAUCGCAAAUUCUUUUAACUUGCUUAAGCUUUAUCAAAAGACUCUGGAAUAGUUGCUUUAAACUAUUUUGGAGAAUAUUUGUUGAAAAAAAAAAUAUUAUUAUCAUUGCCAUUAGCAGUAGAUAAUUUGAGUUGCGGGAACUUCUAAAUAGAUUAACAUAGCAAUUCUCUGUACUAAAAUGGAGUUUGUGGCUAAUCCAAAUGGACAUUGUCGCCUUUGCACGAAGAAAGAUCGUGCAAUGGUCGAAAUGAUAACUUGCGAUGAGUGCGAUAGGUGGUUCCAUUUAUCUUGUGUGAAUCUUGAUAAACGGCCACCAAGACCAGAGGACUGGUACUGUAUGAAAUGCCAGCAGCGUAAAAAAGAAUACGCUGCAAUGACGAAGGACUUGGAAGUGACAAAUAUGGCACUCCAAGCAAAAAAUGGCAGCAGCAGGGCAAUUAUUGAGCUGAUGAGAAUACACGAGAGGACCAUGUUAUCCCUCGUGACUUCCAUUCAGAAUACGAACAUGAAAGAAGACGCAAUGUCAGUAAAUUCAGGAAACUCGAUUGAAUGGAAAAGUUAUUAUGAAACCUUGCCUAAGAUUAUCGGUAAUGCCAGAGGAAUGGAGCAGCAACCAAAGCUGCACCGAUAUGAUAUGCUGCAGCCAAGUACGACUGGUGGAACAACUGGAAUUACAAUAACCACUGGCUCAGAGGAGAACACAAGCGAUUCUGAAGAGUUAGAAUAUGAUAGUAAUGAAAAUGAUUUUGCCGGAUUCGAUGAGGACUCCGCUGGUAGCGAGAACGGAAUGUUAAGUUCUCCAAGAUCCUCAAGUACGAUUUCCGAUUUCACAAAUUCUGAAAAAGUCCAAGAACUGGAAGCAAAUCUUUGGUCGUCUACGGAAGCAUUUGGGGAAAAUGUGGUUGCCUCGGUGAGAAGUGCCACAUUAGGAUCUACCGACGAACAGAACAAAAUGGAAUCUGUUGUUGGUAUGGCACCAGCACCUGGGAAUGCAUUUGACAAUAGCGCUAAAGUUUUAGCUAUGUCUACCAUGGUGACUAAGCGAAAAGUCACCGCUCCUGUCAAUGCUCUCGAUGAAGCCUUCAGUGUACCCUUUGCAUAUGAAUGGAAAAGGGAAUUGGUUUAUUAUGCAAAUUUGGAUGGCAAUAGUAAAGAUACAAAUAAUUAUAUCAUCAUGCCACUACACGGGGGGUUAACGUCGGAUAAUUUUACGUUUAAGAAAGAUUCCGUGGGUGGAUCAUCAGAUGAAGAAAUUAUACGAAGUGCCAGAUCAUAUGGAUUAACGCCUCGACGACCUAUACCAGAACCACUUUCUGGAUACAAUUUGGGUAAACGAAUCCCAAAGACUAAAAUGCUCAAAGAAACAAGUACACCGCCAUGUGUGUCGUUGGUAUGUGCAUCAGUAAGUCCAUCAGGUAUAACUCCUUCAUUGCGCUCGAAUUCGCAAACCCCUCCUGAAUCAAGAGGAAUAAGAACUGGUUCCCAAGUUACCUUUGUGUGUCGAAUGAGGAACCAGGUAGCGAACCACCUUCGACUGUGGAAAAAUGUUCGAUUGAAGAAUUCGCUCGUUAAUGAUUGGACUGAAUUGGAAAAUAUUUUCCAAAAAAAAAACGGCACAAAGUAUCAGGGAGAUUGGAUUGGAGAAAAGUAUGCAGAGACUAAUAUUUGAAUGGAAAAUAUCAAUUUUAUUACUUCCAAACAUAACUUCGAUCCUGCUUGGACGAAAGACAAAAAAAAAAAAAUUAAUGUUCACAAAUGUUGAAAUAGAAGAAUUUUAAAGGGAAAUAAAAAUCAUGUUAAGGUAAGACAUUCAUUAUUUAGAAGAAAGAAGGAUGUUAAAGUACUAUACGCCCAAAAAAUUAUUAGUUAAAACAAAAUUAUAUCCCUUUAUUAACACCAAGAUUAGAGUCAUGAUAGCUCUUCUCUCACGUGUAGGGACUGCAGUAAACGCGUUUCCAUUUUAGUAUAAUGGAAUGAAUUAUUUUAGACCUUUCUAUGUUCAAAAGAUAGAAAUGUCAAAAAGGGGAGUUAUUUUCACUUGUUUAGUUACACGUGGAUACAUAUCGAAAUGGCAGAAAAUUUGAGUACCGAUGCCUUUUUCGUAUGCUUUAGGAAUUUUCAGUGUCGCAGAGGUAAAGUAACUCAGCUUUACAGCGACAACGGAACUAAUUUUGUUGGAGCCGAAAGAGAGUUGAAACGCCUCCUACAAGAACUCGACACAAGAAUGAGACAAGGAGAAGCCGCAGAGUUAGAAAUUUCAUGGGUGUUUAACCCUCCAGCGGCUCCACAUUUUGGAGGCGUAUGGGAGAGGUUAAUAGGAAUAAUAAAGAAGGCGCUUAGUGUCAUGAUAGACGAUAUGUCUAAAAGGACACCUACGAGUGAAGUGCUGCGAUCAGCCUUUAUUCAAGCGGAGUGGUUUGUUAAUUCACGUCCUUUGAUACAUAGAGCUUUAAAGGAUGUGAAUGAUGAGCUAUUAACCCCCUUCCAUGCGAUUUUAGGAAGGCCGGGACAAUAUGCACCAACCAUACGUCGAGAUGAUUUCACUCACGGAUGAGAACCAGGUACUCUACUACGCCAGCGACACGACGAGCAUCGUAAUCCACUGCCAGCAUACAAUAAUAUCGCCACCCUAUAAAGAGGCCGUAGUUAGGUUAGAUUUUGAUUGUAAAAUUCAAAGUAAUAAAAGUGUUAUAUAUGGAUUUGUGAAUAGGGAAGAAAGGAAAACAAACUUAUAUUUUAAAGAAAGAAUUCAAAUAGAUUUCAAUUUAGAGCAGAAUAAAACUGAAUUACCGAAAUUAAAUAAGCCUGCAAAUCCAUUUAAUAACAAAAUUUUUACAAUAUUAACAAAUGAUGAUAAGAAACAAGAUGUAGGUGAACCCAUAUUUGAAUAUGUAAUAAUGGGUGUAGGAUUGAUAGGUAUUAUGUACGUGGUAAUAGUUAUCUAUUUACGUAUUAAAAAAUGUAAUACAACACGAAAUUCCAGAAGACCGGCGGAGUGUUUGUUUCCACUUCCGCGAAAUACGGCUGAAAGUUCGUUAUAAAAUUAGGUCUUUGCAAUUAUUUAUAGGAAUAAUAAACUUAACAGAGAGGACGAACGCAAAUUUUAUCAUUAAUUCACGAUCAUUCAUUCAUGACAAUCGCUCGAUUAUCAAAUAGGGUAAACCUUCUAGAAGAUUUACGGGGCCGGGAAUGUCGAGCGUAGAGCUUGCGUCAGUUGCACUGGCAUUAUUAAAUUUAAUUAUCAACCACAAAAACAACGUGCUUAAAGGAGCACUAUGAUCGAGAAGCGAUUUGAACCGAUAAGGCGUUUCCGGCGCAGUCGUGAGAGCUAUUAAUUUUCCAUCAAUUCUCGCAUCCCAUGUGCAUCAAUAAGCGCUAAUUCAAAUAGCAAAGGAAGCUUAAGUUGGGUCGAGACGCCAGGUAAUCUGGUGCCGAUGGCAAUAGUAAAAUUAAUUAGCAAAGACCAUGACGAAAUGCGAAGGGACAAACAUAAACAAUUGCCCGAAAAGGAACGUUAAAUGAAUAUCGUCAAAUCAGCUCUCGGAAGGUUGCGGUAAUAAAAUAAUUUAAUACGUAAUUCCCGAAAGGACUGCAAUAAAAGAAGGAAAGGUAGUCUGGCGACGGUCAUGUUUGAGUCUGGUAGAAAUAUGAAUUGAUUACCCGUGCUGACAAGGACCAACAAGUUUUGAAAGCGUCGGUACGUGAUAGGGAAUAGAGAAGGAUAGCGCGAAAUGCAAGCGCAACAUUGAAUACCAAAUUCUAUGUAGUAGUGAGGUAGAUAGGAAUUAUUUACCCGUGCUGACGAAUGGUAACGUCAGCAUCUAAGGAGAAAGGGAGAUAGUAAUAAAUGUUGCACUGCAUGUCGUGCAACAUCUUUAAUAUUUUACCAUAAGAUUCAUGUAUAUAUAGUUUAAGAAAAUUAAAAAAUAAAUGAGUCAUCAGUUACCAGAGAAAACGGUCGUUCGCAUUCAUCACUAGAAAGAAAAUUCCCGGACGAGCCCCCACCAGAAGAAGUCAUCCUCCCCUAGAAGGAAGCAUCAUCGCCCAGGAAGUACAGUCCGCUGGAGAACCGUAGCCAGCAUAAAAGCGUACUUCCGCUCUUAUGCCCUACUUGCUUCUCCCCGGAUAUCCGAAAACUUUAAUCGUAAAGUCUUAAGGCAAAUUAAAAAAGAAUUUGCGACAGG